rnacentral:lncRNA from 1 species
GGUUCCCCACCCCGCGCAGGGAAUCCUGCUCCACAAUCUGCCCAGCACAGCUGGGAUGCUGCCGAGGCAUUGCUUGUUCCCAGCACAUGCUGGGAUGGCAAACUGUCCUGGGUGAAAGUUAUGGGGGGAUCCCCAGAAACGGGAGUUAAGAUGCUGCCACCAGCUCUGGUUUUGGCCUGUUCUUGACGGGUGUUGCUUCUGGGGGCUCCUCUGGGAGUGGCUCAGAAGGAACGUCUGGAAGCUCCAACUGUUCCUGAGUGAUAGCGUUUAAUUCCUCUAGAAUGGCAUCUUCAUCUUCCUCAGUCAGGCUCCCAGCCAGUAUCUCAUCUAUUUGCCUCUGGUACUCCACAGCAUCCUGGGUUUCACCUAUUAUUCUUUCCACUUCUUCUAUUGACAUAACCUGGUGCAUUUUGUUCAGACAUUCGUUGCCUAUUUUCAGGCCCUCAAUGACCUUCAUUUCGAUCUGAGUGAACUCGAUAUCCUGGACCAUCCGCUCCAGGUUGCUGAUCUGGUUGUCUGUCUUAUCCAGCAGCUGCUCCUGGUAACGCUUCUUCUUCAACAAGAGCAUAGCUUUUUCCUUCUUGCCCUCCUUCAGCAGCUGCCGGGCGAGCUCCCGCUCCCGCUCCAGGCCCAGACUGAUCCGCUUCUGGUACUGCCGCAGUUUAUCCCUCUGCUGCUUCAAUUGCAGCACGGCCUUGUCCUGCUCCGUGACGCGGCUGCGCCGCUUCCGCCCGAACAGAUUCCCCAUCGCCCCUCCGCCGCUCCUGCCCCGGCCCCGGGCGGCCCCGGGAGCACCGCCCCGCCCCGCGACGGCGGCCGCGUAGGGCCCGGCACAGCACAGCGCGGAGGGAGCGG